AUUGAACGCUGGCGGCAGGCCUAACACAUGCCAGUCGAGCGGAUGAAGGGAGCUUGCUCCUGGAUUCAGCGGCGGACGGGUGAGUAAUGCCUAGGAAUCUGCCUGGUAGUGGGGGAUAACGUCCGGAAACGGGCGCUAAUACCGCAUACGUCCUGAGGGAGAAAGUGGGGGAUCUUCGGACCUCACGCUAUCAGAUGAGCCUAGGUCGGAUUAGCUAGUUGGUGGGGUAAAGGCCUACCAAGGCGACGAUCCGUAACUGGUCUGAGAGGAUGAUCAGUCACACUGGAACUGAGACACGGUCCAGACUCCUACGGGAGGCAGCAGUGGGGAAUUUUGGACAAUGGGCGCAAGCCUGAUCCAGCCAUGCCGCGUGCAGGAUGAAGGCCUUCGGGUUGUAAACUGCUUUUGUACGGAACGAAAAGCCUUCUUUUAAUACAGGAGGGUCAUGACGGUACCGUAAGAGUAAGCACCGGCUAACUACGUG
rnacentral:rRNA from 1 species